rnacentral:rRNA from 1 species
UAAGGAAUAUUGCGCAAUGGAGGCAACUCUGACGCAGCCAUGCCGCGUGCAGGAAGAAGGCGCUACGCGUUGUAAACUGCUUUUAUCCGGGAAGAAACCCCUCCACGUGUGGAGGGUUGACGGUACCGGAGGAAUAAGCACCGGCUAACUUCGUGCCAGCAGCCGCGGUAAUACGAAGGGUGCAAGCGUUAUCCGGAUUCAUUGGGUUUAAAGGGUGCGUAGGCGGAGCAAUAAGUCAGCGGUGAAAGCCCGUAGCUUAACUACGGAAUUGCCGUUGAUACUGUUGUUCUUGAGUACGCUUGACGUUGGCGGAAUGUGACGUGUUGCGGUAAAAUGCUUAGAUAUGGCACAGAACACCGAUAGUGAAGACAGCUCACGAAGGCGAAACUGACGCUGAGGCACGAAAGCGUGGGGAUCAAACA